GCGUAUUCCUGAUGCUUGCCGAUGUACGCCUUCACGAAAGGGCAUUGCGCGAUGACUUUCAGCCCGGAGGCGCGCACCUGAUCGAGCGUUUCCUUGAUGAGUUUCGAACCGAUGCCUCGGCCUCCGAGCGCCUCCGGUACUUCGGUGUGGACAAACGUGAUUACGCCAUCAGACAGUUCGUAAUAGGUCGCCGCGAUAUGACCUUCGACGUCGAGUUCGUAGCGCUUCUUGGCAGGGUUGUUCCGUACAUCGGUCAUUGUCGGCGUCCGCUUCGGGGUGU
rnacentral:misc_RNA from 1 species